AACGCUGGCGGCGUGCUUAACACAUGCAAGUCGAACGAAAGGACGGGAAGAGCUUGCUCUUUCCGGAAUUGAGUGGCAAACGGGUGAGUAACACGUAAACAACCUGCCUUCAGGAUGGGGACAACAGACGGAAACGACUGCUAAUACCGAAUAAGUUCCAAGAGCCGCAUGGCCCAUGGAAGAAAAGGUGGCCUCUACCUGUAAGCUAUCGCCUGAAGAGGGGUUUGCGUCUGAUUAGGCAGUUGGUGAGGUAACGGGCCCACCAAGGCGACGAUCAGUAGCCGACCUGAGAGGGUGACCGGCCACAUUGGGACUGAGACACGGCCCAAACUCCUACGGGAGGCAGCAGUGGGGAAUAUUGCACAAUGGGGGAAACCCUGAUGCAGCGACGCCGCGUGAGCGAAGAAGUAUUUCGGUAUGUAAAGCUCUAUCAGCAGGGAAGAAAAAAAUGACGGUACCUGACUAAGAAGCCCCGGCUAACUACGUG
rnacentral:rRNA from 1 species